rnacentral:rRNA from 1 species
AUUGAACGCUGGCGGCAUGCCUUACACAUGCAAGUCGAACGGCAGCGCGGGGCAACCUGGCGGCGAGUGGCGAACGGGUGAGUAAUAUAUCGGAACAUACCCUAGAGUGGGGGAUAACGUAGCGAAAGUUACGCUAAUACCGCAUACGCACUAAGGUGGAAAGUGGGGGAGUCUUCGGACCUCAUGCUCAUGGAGUGGCCGAUAUCUGAUUAGCUAGUUGGUGAGGUAAAGGCUCACCAAGGCGACGAUCAGUAGCUGGUUUGAGAGAACGACCAGCCACACUGGAACUGAGACACGGUCCAGACUCCUACGGGAGGCAGCAGUGGGGAAUUUUGGACAAUGGGGGCAACCCUGAUCCAGCAAUGCCGCGUGAGUGAAGAAGGCCUGGUUGUAAAGGUAC